rnacentral:rRNA from 1 species
CCAGACUCCUACGGGAGGCAGCAGUGGGGAAUAUUGCACAAUGGGGGGAACCCUGAUGCAGCGACGCCGCGUGGGUGAAGGAGCACCUCGGUGCGUAAAGCCCUAUCGGCAGGGAAGAAAAGCGAACAGGUUCGCCUGGACGGUACCUGACUAAGAAGCCCCGGCUAACUACGUGCCAGCAGCCGCGGGAAUACGUAGGUGGCAGGCGGUGUCCGGAUUUACUGGGUGUAAAGGGCGUGUAGCCGGGCCGGCAAGUCAGAUGUGAAAUCCCAAGGCUCAACCUUGGAACUGCAUUUGAAACUGUUGGUCUUGAGUAUCGGAGAGGCAGGCGGAAUUCCUAGCGUAGCGGUGAAAUGCGUAGAUAUUAGGAGGAACACCAGUGGCGAAGGCGGCCUGCUGGACUGCGACUGACGUUGAGGCCCGAAAGCGUGGGGAGCAAACAGGAUUAGAUACCCUCGUAAAC